CGAGCGCGCCCUUCGGGGUGAGCGGCGGACGGGUUAGUAACGCGUGGGAACAUACCCUUUGGUACGGAAUAGCCUCUGGAAACGGAGAGUAAUACCGUAUGAGCCCUUCGGGGGAAAGAUUUAUCGCCAAAGGAUUGGCCCGCGUUAGAUUAGGUAGUUGGUGGGGUAACGGCCUACCAAGCCUACGAUCUAUAGCUGGUUUUAGAGGAUGAUCAGCAACACUGGGACUGAGACACGGCCCAGACUCCUACGGGAGGCAGCAGUGGGGAAUCUUGGACAAUGGGGGCAACCCUGAUCCAGCCAUGCCGCGUGAGUGAUGAAGGCCUUAGGGUCGUAAAGCUCUUUCGCCUGUGAAGAUAAUGACGGUAGCAGGUAAAGAAACCCCGGCUAACUCCGUGCCAGCAGCCGCGGUAAUACGGAGGGGGUUAGCGUUGUUCGGAAUUACUGGGCGUAAAGCGCACGUAGGCGGACUGGAAAGUUGGGGGUGAAAUCCCAGGGCUCAACCCUGGAACUGCCUCCAAAACUAUCAGUCUAGAGUUCGAGAGAGGUGAGUGGAAUUCCGAGUGUAGAGGUGAAAUUCGUAGAUAUUCGGAGGAACACCAGUGGCGAAGGCGGCUCACUGGCUCGAUACUGACGCUGAGGUGCGAAAGUGUGGGGAGCAAACAGGAUUAGAUACCCUGGUAGU
rnacentral:rRNA from 1 species